GACGAACGCUGGCGGCGUGCUUAACACAUGCAAGUCGAACGGUGAAGCAGAGCUUGCUCUGUGGAUCAGUGGCGAACGGGUGAGUAACACGUGAGCAACCUGCCCUGGACUCUGGGAUAAGCGCUGGAAACGGCGUCUAAUACUGGAUACGAGACGUGGCCGCAUGGUCGACGUUUGGAAAGAUUUUUUGGUUCAGGAUGGGCUCGCGGCCUAUCAGCUUGUUGGUGAGGUAAUGGCUCACCAAGGCGUCGACGGGUAGCCGGCCUGAGAGGGUGCCCGGCCACACUGGGACUGAGACACGGCCCAGACUCCUACGGGAGGCAGCAGUGGGGAAUAUUGCACAAUGGGCGAAAGCCUGAUGCAGCAACGCCGCGUGAGGGAUGACGGCCUUCGGGUUGUAAACCUCUUUUAGCAAGGAAGAAGCGAAAGUGACGGUACUUGCAGAAAAAGCGCCGGCUAACUACGUGCCAGCCGCCGCCGUAAUAC
rnacentral:rRNA from 1 species